UACGAAGGGGGCUAGCGUUGCUCGGAAUCACUGGGCGUAAAGGGCGCGUAGGCGGCUCAUGAAGGCUGUGGUGAAAGUCCGGGGCUCAACCUCGGAUCGGCCGUGGCGACUCGUGGGCUGGAGCACUGUAGAGGCGGGUGGAAUUCCGGGUGUAGCGGUGGAAUGCGUAGAGAUCCGGAAGAACACCGGUGGCGAAGGCGGUCUGCUGGGCAGUUGCUGACACUGAGGCGCGACAGCGUGGGGAGCAAACAGG
rnacentral:rRNA from 1 species